GACGAACGCUGGCGGCGUGCCUAAUACAUGCAAGUUGAGCGCUGAAGGUUGGUACUUGUACCAUCUGGAUGAGCCGCGCACGGGUGAGUCACGCGUGGGGACUCUGCCUUUGAGCGGGGGACCACAUUUGGAAACGAGUGCUAAUACCGUAUAAACACUUUAAACACAAGUUUUACUUUUGAAAGAUGCCAUUGCAUGACUCACUGAUGAUUCCGCGUUGUAUUAGCUAGUUGGUGAGGUACAGGCUCACCAAGGCGAGGCUACAGAGUCGACCUGACAGGGUGGUCAGCCACAUUGAGACGGAGACACGGCCCAAACGCCGACGGGAGGCAGCAGUAGGGAAUCGUCGGGAAGAGGCGAAAGACAGACCGAGCAACGCCGCGGGAGGGAAGAAGAUCUUCGGGUCGGAAAACUCUGUUGUCAGAGUAUAACGUUGGUGAGAGUGUAAAGCACAGUAAGUGACGGUAACUACCCAGAAAGGAACGGCUAACUACGUG
rnacentral:rRNA from 1 species